UUGCUUAGCUUUUCUCUCCCCUCUCUUUACUCUCUAACCCCCCACCUCUCUUAGUUGCAAUUUAAGAAUUAUGAUAGUACCCUAGUGUCCAAGAGUUUCAAGCUAAGAAAAAUUCAAAUAGAGCCUAUGCAUUGCAACUUCAACUGUGCAGGAAUGAAGAACAUGUUAAAUUGGAUAGAGUAAUAGUGCCUUAGUGUAACUAAUUUUGGUAAUUUAAGAUUUAUGUUAGUACUUUGGUGUCCAAGAGUUC
rnacentral:misc_RNA from 1 species